AGCAGUGAGCAACGGAUAGCAAUAGCAAAAGAAAAACAAAGUGAAGUGAAGUGAGAUGCAGUGAAAAGUGAAUGCCGUCUCCCGUCUGGGUUGUCUGCAAGCAAAGUGAAUUCCUGACAUACAAUAAUUGCCUUAUUGCACAUUUGUAAAGUUAAUCAGUAGGUUAUUAAUAAUACUACACACACAACAGUCAGUAUGAGACCUAUUGAAAGAAGCAAUCCUUCUGAAGAAAAGGAUUUAGCAAGGCACGCAGUUCAACUGAAUAUUGCUGCGUUUAUUGGAGUCAUCGCUGUAAUAAAAUUGGUUCCUCACGCCAUAGAGUUCUUCAAGGCCAGCUAAAGUCAAACAGAUGAUAAUUUGUGGAUCUCAAAGUCUCCUCUCUGCCAGUAGAAAAAUGAAAAUACUAGACAAUGUUAUUAAUGAUGUAAUCAUAAUGUGAGUUGUUGCGUAUGUAAAUUGUGUAUUCAUGUUUUCUUUCUAAUAAAUAGUUACUGAAAAGUA